AAGGUACGGGAGGCAGCAGUGGGGAAUCUUCCGCAAUGGGCGAAAGCCUGACGGAGCAACGCCGCGUGAGUGAAGAAGGUCUUCGGAUCGUAAAGCUCUGUUGCCGGGGACGAAUGUAGGCAGUGCAAACAGCAUUGUGUAAUGACGGUACCCGGCGAGGAAGCCACGGCUAACUACGUGCCAGCAGCCGCGGUAAUCCUU
rnacentral:rRNA from 1 species